AACGAACGCUGGCGGCAGGCUUAACACAUGCAAGUCGAGCGCCCCGCAAGGGGAGCGGCAGACGGGUGAAUAACACGUGGGAACGUACCCUUUACUACGGAACAACUCAGGGAAACGGGAGCUAAUACCGUAUGUGCCCUUCGGGGGAAAGAUUUAUCGGUAAUGGAUGGGCCCGCGUUGGAUUAGCUAGUUGGUGGGGUAAAGGCCUACCAAGGCGACGAUCCAUAGCUGGUCUGAGAGGAUGAUCGGCCACAUUGGGACUGAGACACGGCCCAGACUCCUACGGGAGGCAGCAGUGGGGAAUAUUGGACAAUGGGCGCAAGCCUGAUCCAGCCAUGCCGCGUGAGUGAUGAAGGCCUUAGGGUUGUAAAGCUCUUUCACCGAUGAAGAUAAUGACGGUAAUCGGAGAAGAAGCCCCGGCUAACUUCGUGCCAGCCGCCGCAGUAA
rnacentral:rRNA from 1 species